AGCCUCCCAGUGCUUAUUACCACAGGCUGCGUUCCUACACUGACUGCACAGACGGAGGAGGCAGAGCAGACCCCACACACGCCUCAGCCCCGGCCCCUUGCCUGGUCCGCAUUGGGAAUGGGAGGACGUGG